rnacentral:rRNA from 1 species
CCUAACACAUGCAAGUCGAACGGUAACAGGAAGAAGCUUGCUUCUUUGCUGACGAGUGGCGGACGGGUGAGUAAUGUCUGGGAAACUGCCUGAUGGAGGGGGAUAACUACUGGAAACGGUAGCUAAUACCGCAUAACGUCGCAAGACCAAAGAGGGGGACCUUCGGGCCUCUUGCCAUCGGAUGUGCCCAGAUGGGAUUAGCUAGUAGGUGGGGUAACGGCUCACCUAGGCGACGAUCCCUAGCUGGUCUGAGAGGAUGACCAGCCACACUGGAACUGGGACACGGUCCAGACUCCUACGGGAGGCAGCAGUGGGGAAUAUUGCACAAUGGGCGCAAGCCUGAUGCAGCCAUGCCGCGUGUAUGAAGAAGGCCUUCGGGUUGUAAAGUACUUUCAGCGGGGAGGAAGGGAGUAAAGUUGAUACCUUUGCUCAUUGACGUUACCCGCAGAAGAAGCACCGGCUAACUCCGUGCCAGCAGC